rnacentral:rRNA from 1 species
UACGAAGGGGACUAGCGUUGUUCGGAAUUACUGGGCGUAAAGCGCACGUAGGCGGAUUGCUAAGUCAGGGGUGAAAUCCCGGGGCUCAACCUCGGAACUGCCUUUGAUACUGGCAAUCUCGAGUCCGAUAGAGGUGGGUGGAAUUCCUAGUGUAGAGGUGAAAUUCGUAGAUAUUAGGAAGAACACCGGUGGCGAAGGCGGCCCACUGGAUCGGUACUGACGCUGAGGUGCGAAAGCGUGGGGAGCAAACAGG